GAUGAACGCUGGCGGCGUGCCUAACACAUGCAAGUCGAGCGGCAGCGAGGGGUGCUUGCACCCUGUCGGCGAGCGGCGGACGGCUGAGUAACGCGUGGGAACGUGCCCCAAAGUGAGGAAUAACUGCCCGAAAGGGUAGCUAAUACCGCAUAUUAUCUUCGGAUCAAAGGAUUUAUCCGCUUUGGGAGCGGCUCGCGUCGGAUUAGGUAGUUGGUGAGGUAAUGGCUCACCAAGCCGACGAUCCGUAGCUGGUCUGAGAGGAUGACCAGCCAGACUGGAGCUGAGACACGGUCCAGACUCCUACGGGAGGCAGCAGUGAGGAAUCUUCCACAAUGGGCGAAAGCCUGAUGGAGCAACGCCGCGUGCAGGACGAAGGCCUUCGGGUUGUAAACUGCUUUUAUAAGUGAGGAAUAUGACGGUAACUUAUGAAUAAGGAUCGGCUAACUACGUG
rnacentral:rRNA from 1 species